rnacentral:rRNA from 1 species
AUUGAACGCUGGCGGCAGGCCUAACGCAUGCAAGUCGAGCGGAUGAAGGGAGCUUGCUCCUGGAUUCAGCGGCGGACGGGUGAGUAAUGCCUAGGAAUCUGCCUGGUAGUGGGGGAUAACGUCCGGAAACGGGCGCUAAUACCGCAUACGUCCUGAGGGAGAAAGUGGGGGAUCUUCGGACCUCACGCUAUCAGAUGAGCCUAGGUCGGAUUAGCUAGUUGGUGGGGUAAAGGCCUACCAAGGCGACGAUCCGUAACUGGUCUGAGAGGAUGAUCAGUCACACUGGAACUGAGACACGGUCCAGACUCCUACGGGAGGCAGCAGUGGGGAAUAUUGGACAAUGGGCGAAAGCCUGAUCCAGCCAUGCCGCGUGUGUGAAGAGGGUCUUCGGAUUGUAAAGCACUUUAAGUUGGGAGGAAGGGCAGUAAGUUAAUACCUUGCUGUUUUGACGUUACCAACAGAAUAAGCACCGGCUAACUUCGUG